ensembl:snRNA U6 U6 spliceosomal RNA
GUGCUUGCUUUGGCAGCACAUAUACUAACACGGAACGACACAGAGAGGAUGAGCAUGGCCCCUGGGCAAGGGUGACACGCGAGUUCGUGGAGUGUUCCAUAUUUUA